rnacentral:tRNA from 1 species
GAGAGUAUAGCUCAGUGGUAGAGUGCAUGCUUAGCAUGCACAAGGUCCUAGGUUCAAUCUCCAGUACCUCCA